rnacentral:rRNA from 1 species
AACCUCCGCAAUGUGAGAAAUCGCGACGGGGGGAUCCCAAGUGCCAUUCUUAACGGGAUGGCUUUUCUUAAGUGUAAAAAGCUUUUGGAAUAAGAGUUGGGCAAGACCGGUGCCAGCCGCCGCGGUAACACCGGCAGCUCUAGUGGUAGCUGUUUUUAUUGGGCCUAAAGCGUUCGUAGCCGGUUUGAUAAGUCACUGGUGAAAUCCUGUAGCUUAACUGUGGGAAUUGCUGGUGAUACUGUUGAACUUGAGGUCGGGAGAGGUUAGCGGUACUCCCAGGGUAGAGGUGAAAUUCUGUAAUCCUGGGAGGACCACCUGUGGCGAAGGCGGCUAACUGGAACGAACCUGACGGUGAGGGACGAAAGCUAGGGGCGCGAACCGGAUUAGAUACCCGGGUAGUCCUAGCCGUAAACGAUGCGGACUUGGUGUUGGGAUGGCUUUGAGCCGCUCCGGUGCCGAAGGGAAGCUGUUAAGUCCGCCGCCUGGGAAGUACGGUCGCAAGACUGAAACUUAAAGGAAUU